rnacentral:rRNA from 1 species
AAAGCAUUUGUUGUAACGUGUUGACGGAGCGAAGCGACGUCAAACCGAUAAAACAGCAGUGUUAAGUGAGCCGCAGGGCGUUUUGCGCGACAGCGCAAAAGCAGGCGGUUUCGCGAAGCGAAAGCGAAUGCUUUGGGGUGGGGUGACUGCGUACCUUUUGUAUAAUGGGUCAGCGACUUAUAUUCUGUAGCAAGGUUAACCG